UACGAAGGGGGCUAGCGUUGCUCGGAAUCACUGGGCGUAAAGGGCGCGUAGGCGGCCAUUCAAGUCGGGGGUGAAAGCCUGUGGCUCAACCACAGAAUUGCCUUCGAUACUGUUUGGCUUGAGUCUGGUAGAGGUUGGUGGAACUGCGAGUGUAGAGGUGAAAUUCGUAGAUAUUCGCAAGAACACCGGUGGCGAAGGCGGCCAACUGGACCAGUACUGACGCUGAGGCGCGAAAGCGUGGGGAGCAAACAGGAUUGAGAUACCCGGGUAGUA
rnacentral:rRNA from 1 species